rnacentral:tRNA from 1 species
GCCCGUGUAGCUUAGCUGGUAGAGCAAUCCCUUCGUAAGGGAAAGGUCGUCGGUUCGAAUCCGACCAUGGGCU